AGUGAACGCUGGCGGUAGGCCUAACACAUGCAAGUCGAACGGCAGCACAGUAAGAGCUUGCUCUUACGGGUGGCGAGUGGCGGACGGGUGAGGAAUACAUCGGAAUCUACUUUUUCGUGGGGGAUAACGUAGGGAAACUUACGCUAAUACCGCAUACGACCUACGGGUGAAAGCAGGGGAUCUUCGGACCUUGCGCGAUUGAAUGAGCCGAUGUCGGAUUAGCUAGUUGGCGGGGUAAAGGCCCACCAAGGCGACGAUCCGUAGCUGGUCUGAGAGGAUGAUCAGCCACACUGGAACUGAGACACGGUCCAGACUCCUACGGGAGGCGGCAGUGGGGAAUAUCGGACAAUGGGCGCAAGCCUGAUCCAGCCAUACCGCGUGGGUGAAGAAGGCCUUCGGGUUGUAAAGCCCUUUUGUUGGGAAAGAAAAGCAGCAGGUUAAUACCCCGCUGUUCUGACGGUACCCAAAGAAUAAGCACCGGCUAACUUCGUG
rnacentral:rRNA from 1 species